AGUUUUGAGCUAAAUAUAUUAUAAUAUUAGUUAUUUUAUGAAGGUGUUGUAAAACCUUAUUAAAAAAUAUAUCUAGGGGUGAUAGGCUUUUCAAAAACUAAGAUAUCUUGAAUCUAAUUAAAAGUAUGUAGUACACUAAACACAACUAUUAAGUGAUUAGGCUUUAUAGAAAUAACAACUUAUUGAAUUAAAUUUUCUAAAAAUUAAUAUUUAAGUAUAAAAAUAUAAUAAUAUACAUGUAUUAAAGUUUUUAAAGGGGUAAUUAGAUUGAUUAUAGUUUUUAGUUUUUUUAAUAAUGUUAAUAUUAGUAUUAAAUUUAUAUUUUUUUUUUGAACUCGGCAAAAAUGCUUCUCAACUGUUUAUCAAAAACAUAACUAUAUGGAAUUUAUAUAUAGCGAUUUCUGCUCAA
rnacentral:rRNA from 1 species